GACGGAUGGGGCUAGCGUUAUUCGGAAUUACUGGGCGUAAAGGGCGCGUAGGCGGCCAAAUAAGUUAGGCGUGAAAGCCCUGGGCUUAACCUAGGAACUGCGUUUAAUACUGUUUGGCUAGAGUUUGGUAGAGGAAAGCGGAAUUCCUAGUGUAGAGGUGAAAGUCGUAGAUAUUAGGAAGAACACCAGAGGCGAAGGCGGCUUUCUGGACCAAUACUGACGCUGAGGCGCGAAAGCGUGGGGAGCAAACAGG
rnacentral:rRNA from 1 species